AAGGCAGCUCACUUAACUAUAACUGACGCUGAGGCACGAAAGCGUGGGGAGCGAACAGGAUUAGAUAGCCUGGUAGGCCACGCUGUAAACGAUGAUCACUUAGCUGUUGGGCAAUACACAGUCAGCGGCUGAGCGAAAGCGUUAAGUGAUCCACCUGGGGAGUAACGUCCGCAAGAAUGAAACUCAAAGGAAUUGACGGGGGCCCGCACAAACGGUGGAACAUGUGGUUUAAUUCGAUGCUACGCGAGGAACCUUACCUGGGCUUAAAUGCAGAACGACGUUCCGGGAAACUGGAACUCCCUUCGGGGCGGACUGCACGGUGCUGCAUGGCUGUCGUCAGCUCGUGCCUUGAGGUGUCGGGUUAAGUCCCAUAACGAGCGCAACCCCUAUUGUUAGUUGCCAGCGAGUAAUGUCGGGGACUCUAACAAAACUGCCCGUGUAAGCGGGAGGAAGGUGGGGAUGACGUCAAGUCAGCACGGCCCUUAUGUCCAGGGCUACACGCGUGUUACAAUGGUCGGUACAAAGGGCAGCUACCACGCGAGUGGAUGCUAAUCUCUAAAGCCGGUCUUAGUUCGGAUCGGAGUCUGCAAUUCGACUUCGUGAAGGCGGAAUCGCUAGUAAUCGCGCAUCAGCAACGGCGCGGUGAUACGUUCCCGGGCCUUGUACACACUGCCCGUCAAGCCAUGGAAGUUGGGGGUACCUGAAGCCCGUAACCGCAAGGAGCGGUCUAAG
rnacentral:rRNA from 1 species